CCGCCAGGGAACUACAAGCACUAGCUUGAAACCCAAAGGACUUGGCGGUGCUUUACACCCACCUAGAGGAGCCUGUUCUGGAACUGAUAACCCCCGUUCAACCUCACCCUGCUUUGUCAUACCCGCCUAUAUACCGCCGUCGUCAGCUUACCUUGUAAAAGAUUUUAAGUGAGCAGGAUUGGUACAACCCAAAACGUCAGGUCGAGGUGUAAUGAAUAGCAGGGGAAGAAAUGGGCUACAUUUGUCAACCGAUAAACACGGAUGAUUGAUUGAAAAAUAAAUCUGAAGGAGGAUUUAGCAGUAAGAAGAAAGUAUAUAGUUC
rnacentral:rRNA from 1 species